rnacentral:rRNA from 1 species
GUGUCAGCAGCCGCGGUAAUACGGAGGGUGCGAGCGUUGUUCGGAAUCACUGGGCGUAAAGCGCGUGUAGGCGGCCUUCUAAGUCUGAUGUGAAAGCCCGGGGCUUACCCCCGGAAGUGCAUUGGAAACUGGGAGACUAGAGUACCGGAGAGGAAGGUGGAAUUCCUGGUGUAGCGGUGAAAUGCGUAGAUAUCAGGAGGAACACCGGUGGCGAAGGCGGCCUUCUGGACGGAUACUGACGCUGAGACGCGAAAGCGUGGGGAGCAAACAGGAUUAGAAACCCCGGUAGUCC